UGGUUCAGUUGGUAGAGCAUGGCGCUUGCAACGCCAGGGUUGUGGGUUUGAUUCCCCC
rnacentral:tRNA from 1 species